GCUUACCAUGCAAGUCGAACGAUGAUGCCCAGCUUGCUGGGCGGAUUAGUGGCGAACGGGUGAGUAAUACGUGAGUAACCUGCCCUUGACUCUGGGAUAAGCCUGGGAAACUGGGUCUAAUACUGGAUACUACCUCUUACCGCAUGGUGGGUGGUGGAAAGGGUUUUACUGGUUUUGGAUGGGCUCACGGCCUAUCAGCUUGUUGGUGGGGUAAUGGCUCACCAAGGCGACGACGGGUAGCCGGCCUGAGAGGGUGACCGGCCACACUGGGACUGAGACACGGCCCAGACUCCUACGGGAGGCAGCAGUGGGGAAUAUUGCACAAUGGGCGGAAGCCUGAUGCAGCGACGCCGCGUGAGGGAUGAACGGCCUUCGGGUUGUAAACCUCUUUCAGUAAGGGAAGAAGCGAGAGUGACGGUACCUGCAGAAGAAGCGCCGGCUAACUACGUGCCAGCAGCCGCGGUAAUACGUAGGGCGCAAAGCGUUGUCCGGAAUUAUUGGGCGUAAAGAGCUCGUAGGCGGUUUGUCGCGUCUGCUGUGAAAGCCCGGGGCUCAACCCCGGGUCUGCAGUGGGUACGGGCAGACUAGAGUGCAGUAGGGGAGACUGGAAUUCCUGGUGUAGCGGUGAAAUGCGCAGAUAUCAGGAGGAACACCGAUGGCGAAGGCAGGUCUCUGGGCUGUUACUGACGCUGAGGAGCGAAAGCAUGGGGAGCGAACAGGAUUAGAUACCCUGGUAGUCCAUGCCGUAAACGUUGGGCACUAGGUGUGGGGGACAUUCCACGUUUUCCGCGCCGUAGCUAACGCAUUAAGUGCCCCGCCUGGGGAGUACGGCCGCAAGGCUAAAACUCAAAGGAAUUGACGGGGGCCCGCACAAGCGGCGGAGCAUGCGGAUUUAAUUCGAUGCAACGCGAAGAACCUUACCAAGGCUUGACAUUCACCGGACCGCCCCAGAGAUGGGGGUUUCCCUUCGGGGCUGGUGGACAGGUGGUGCAUGGUUGUCGUCAGCUCGUGUCGUGAGAUGUUGGGUUAAGUCCCGCAACGAGCGCAACCCUCGUUCUAUGUUGCCAGCACGUGAUGGUGGGGACUCAUAGGAGACUGCCGGGGUCAACUCGGAGGAAGGUGGGGAUGACGUCAAAUCAUCAUGCCCCUUAUGUCUUGGGCUUCACGCAUGCUACAAUGGCCGGUACAAAGGGUUGCGAUACUGUGAGGUGGAGCUAAUCCCAAAAAGCCGGUCUCAGUUCGGAUUGAGGUCUGCAACUCGACCUCAUGAAGUCGGAGUCGCUAGUAAUCGCAGAUCAGCAACGCUGCGGUGAAUACGUUCCCGGGCCUUGUACACACCGCCCGUCAAGUCACGAAAGUUGGUAACACCCGAAGCCGGUGGCCUAACCCCUUGUGGGAGGGAGCCGUCGAAUGGG
rnacentral:rRNA from 1 species